rnacentral:rRNA from 1 species
GAUGAACGCUGGCGGCGUGCCUAACACAUGCAAGUCGAACGGGCUACUUAGGUAGCUAGUGGCAAACGGGUGCGUAACACGUAGGUGAUCUACCCACAAGCUGGGGACAACGGAUGGAAACGUCCGCUAAUACCCGAUGGUGUCGCGAGACGAAAGGCGUAAGCCACUUGUGGAGGAGCCUGCGGCCUAUCAGGUAGUUGGUGGGGUAACGGCCUACCAAGCCGACGACGGGUAGGGGGUGUGAGAGCAUGAUCAGCCACACUGGAACUGAGACACGGUCCAGACU